rnacentral:lncRNA from 1 species
UAUUGAAAUGCAAUAAAAUAAAACAUUAUAAGUACCAGGGAAAUGAGUUUGUCUGUCUGUCUUCCUGUCUAUACAUCUCACUAGUAAGUUAAAGGGAUUUGAACUUACACGCACAAACACACUCAUGACACAUUUCUUUUUGCUUUCUUUUUUUGUAAAUAUCUCUAUUUCCCAUAUUACCAUUGAAAAAGAUGUAUUUAAUCAAAUAAGUGCAGAUAAACAUGCUCACACACACACAUUUUCUCUCUCUUUAUCUUUUGCUCUCACUCUCUCUGUUUCUGUUUCCUUCUCUCUUUCAAAUAGAAUUUCAUCAAUGUAAAAUAUGUAUUUCAAAUCGAUUUUUUGUAUAUAUAGUCUUUCAUUGCAGAAUGAAAAAAUAAACAAGACUAACUGAAUCAUACUCAAGCAUUAAAAAUACUACCUCUCCUAAGUAAAUGAACAUCAUUAACAUACACACAUACACACUUACACACAAAUAUAAACAAACAAAAUUAUUAAAUGCAAU